GGGUGAUUAGCUCAGCUGGGAGAGCACCUCCCUUACAAGGAGGGGGUCGGCGGUUCGAUCCCGUCAUCACCAG
rnacentral:tRNA from 1 species